AGAGUUUGAUUCUGGCUCAGGACGAACGUUGGCGGUGUGUCUAAGGCAUGCAAGUCGAACGAGAUCGCUUUCUUCGGAAAGCAUUAUAUCUAGUGGCAGACGGCUGAGUAACGCGUAAGUAACUUACCCUAGAGUGGGGAAUAACACAGAGAAAUCUGUGCUAAUACCGCAUACGAUUUAUUGAUAAUUUCUAUAAAUGAAAGAUUUAUCGCUCUUGGAUGGGCUUGCGUCCUAUCAGGUAGUUGGCGGGGUAAUGGCCCACCAAGCCUAAGACGGGUAGCUGGUGUGAGAGCACGACCAGCCAGAGGGGGACUGAGACACGGCCCCCACUCCUACGGGAGGCAGCAGCUAAGAAUAUUGCACAAUGGACGAAAGUCUGAUGCAGCGACACCGCGUGAGGGAUGAAGGUUUUAGGAUUGUAAACCUCUUUUAUUAGGGAAUAGCAAGGAAGGUACCUAAUGAAUAAGCUACGGCUAACUACGUGCCAGCAGCCGCGGUAAUACGUAGGUAGCGAACGUUGUCCGGAAUCACUGGGCGUAAAGGGUCCGUAGGCGGUUUGAUAAGUCUCAUAUGAAAACUUCAAGCUCAACUUGGAGAGGUUGUGAGAUACUGUCAAACUAGAGACUGUUAGAGGUAAGUGGAAUUCCAGGUGUAGUGGUGAAAUGCGUAGAUAUCUGGAGGAACACCAGUGGCGAAAGCGACUUACUGGGACAGUUCUGACGCUAAGGGACGAAAGCGUGGGGAGCGAACCGGAUUAGAUACCCGGGUAGUCCACGCCGUAAACGAUGAUUGCUAGGUUUUCGGGGCAUCGACCCCUCGUGAGCCGAAGUUAACGCGUUAAGCAAUCCGCC
rnacentral:rRNA from 1 species